AUCUUCCACAAUGGGCGAAAGCCUGAUGGAGCAACGCCGCGUGGAGGAUGAAGGUUUUCGGAUUGUAAACUCCUUUUCUAAGAGAAGAUUAUGACGGUAUCUUAGGAAUAAGCACCGGCUAACUCCGUGCCAGCAGCCGCGGUAAUACGGAGGGUGCAAGCGUUACUCGGAAUCACUGGGCGUAAAGAGCGCGUAGGCGGGAUAGCAAGUCAGAUGUGAAAUCCUAUGGCUUAACCAUAGAACUGCAUUUGAAACUGUUAUUCUAGAGUAUGGGAGAGGUAGGUGGAAUUCUUGGUGUAGGGGUAAAAUCCGUAGAGAUCAAGAGGAAUACUCAUUGCGAAGGCGACCUGCUGGAACAUAACUGACGCUGAUGCGCGAAAGCGUGGGGAGCAAA
rnacentral:rRNA from 1 species